UACAGAGGUCUCAAGCGUUGUUCGGAUUCAUUGGGCGUAAAGGGUGCGUAGGCGGUUUGUUGCGUCGGCUGUGAAAUCCCGAGGCUCAACCUCGGGUCUGCAGUCGAUACGAGCAAACUAGAGUGUUGCAGGGGAGACUGGAAUUCCUGGUGUAGCGGUGAAAUGCGUAGAUAUCAGGAGGAACACCUGUGGUGUAGACGGCUCUCUGGACAGUAACUGACGCUGAGACACGAAAGCGUGGGUAGCAAACAGG
rnacentral:rRNA from 1 species